rnacentral:lncRNA from 1 species
ACCAGUGAUAUUGUUGGCUUUUUUCAAAACUACCUCUACCCUUUUUUUUUUGGGAAAAUAUGCAUAAUUUUCAUCAAAUUGGGAAAUUUAGAAGAAAUCAUAAAUUUGACUGAAACUUCAAUUUACUUUCAAGAGUCAAACCCUGCUUUGAAAUAACACCCCUUUUUGUCAGUGAUGAUACACAAAUAGACCCUCAAAUCUGCACAUAUAGUAAUUUGAUGCAUGAAAAAUGUAUAAAUGAGUGUUUUUCAGUUUGAAUUCAUGCACAAUUACUACUGAGACUACACUGUUUGGGAAAAAAGUUGUCUUUUUGGGAAUAAUUUAAGCCAUUUUUUUUUUCAAAUUGGGAUUUUUCUCCAGGGGAAAAAGC